rnacentral:snoRNA from 24 species
UAAAGUUUGACGACACUCUGGUGCCAAGUUUUGAUUAUCUUUGAUUUUCAAUUUAUUACGCUGUACUUGGUUCCUAUUUUGGUUUCAAACAAGAUUUACUGACUUUUACUCACUAAGAUAACCUACAUCUCCAUGGUUAUAUUGGUCCAUCUUUCAAUCGUCAUACAU